rnacentral:rRNA from 1 species
CCUACGGGAGGUAGCAGUGAGGAAUAUUGGUCAAUGGACGAGAGUCUGAACCAGCCAAGUAGCGUGAAGGAUGACUGCCCUAUGGGUUGUAAACUUCUUUUAUAUGGGAAUAAAAUGUUCCACGUGUGGGAUGUUGUAUGUACCAUAUGAAUAAGGAUCGGCUAACUCCGUGCCAGCAGCCGCGGUAAUACGGAGGAUCCGAGCGUUAUCCGGAUUUAUUGGGUUUAAAGGGAGCGUAGGUGGAUUGUUAAGUCAGUUGUGAAAGUUUGCGGCUCAACCGUAAAAUUGCAGUUGAAACUGGCAGUCUUGAGUACAGUAGAGGUGGGCGGAAGUCGUGGUGUAGCGGUGAAAUGCUUAGAUAUCACGAAGAACUCCGAUUGCGAAGGCAGCUCACGGGACUGCAACUGACACUGAGGCUCGAAAGUGUGGGUAUCAAACAGGAUUAGAUACCCGGGUAGUC